AGUAAUACAUCGGAACGUGUCUUCUAGUGGGGGAUAACUGCCCGAAAGGGCAGCUAAUACCGCAUGAGACCUGAGGGUGAAAGCGGGGGAUCGCAAGACCUCGCGCUGGAAGAGCGGCCGAUGUCCGAUUAGCUAGUUGGCGAGGUAAAGGCUCACCAAGGCGACGAUCGGUAGCUGGUCUGAGAGGACGACCAGCCACACUGGGACUGAGACACGGCCCAG
rnacentral:rRNA from 1 species